CCACCCACCAAAGACAGAAUCCAGUUAAGAGCCAUUCGCUGCUGAUUGUGUCUGAUCAAAGUGCUGGUAAUUCUCUUUCUAAUAACAACGAUCAUGGUAGAAAUGUUCAGGAAUCAGUGUCAGAGUGAACCAUCUCAAGAAAGGGGAAAGCCUGCAGCUGUUGUGAGAGUUCCUUGUAGUUGAAGUGUUCGGAAGGGGUGCAGCCAAAUAAUUGUGAGGCGGUGUUCUUCAUGUCCCUGAAAAAUCAGAAAUAACAAUAGACAAAUGGCGGGCAUUUGCUGACAAAUUAAACUGAUCUCAGUUUUUAAUUGAAGCCUAAAAUUGAUUGGUGUUUCUACUUGGGGCUGCUGGUAUUGAUUGAUCUCUUUUAAAAGGCAAUUGUUGAUAAAUUGUGGAGCACGAGGGUAGAAAUAUAAGCAGGAAAUUCAAGUAGCAUUAUGUCUCAUUGAUCUUCAUGUUGCCUGAAAAGCAGAGGCAGGUACUAUACUCGAUUGCUCUAGGCGUUUGUAACUUAACCUGACAUACAAAGUCUAGUGUACAUUAUACUUUGAUUAUAGCUCAUCAACUUAGCGUUAAUGAGAUACUUGAUCAUCCACUUCAUUAAUUCUGAACUCUAAACUGUGGGUAGUAGGAGGCAGAAGUAAUUGUCUCAUUCUANGGGGGAAUAAAACUAGGGUUGCCAUGGUCUUAGAAUGAGACAAUUACUUCUGCCUCCUA
rnacentral:misc_RNA from 1 species